AAUUCCGUUACCUGACACUCGCAAUUUCCCAACACUGCACCACACCAUCCGAUCACCCACUCUUUAUUGCAUGACAUUCCCAACAAACUCUUCCCGCCGUAACUGAAUUCAGUUGCGAUGGCAUUAUUCGAAACAGCUGCCUACUCUCUAUCUCGCACACCAACCGCCACAACCAACGUCGUCUUCUCCAACUCUACUAUCAGACCACUCACACCUUCUUCUUCUUCCUUCUAUUCUCGAGUCCUCCGUUGCCGAUCGAAUUCCAACUGCCUUCUUUUGACUCCGCGGUUUACUUUUGCUGUGAAAGCUUGCGUCAAGGUCGAAGAGAAGGAUGUUGCCGCGACUAGUGGAGCUGAAGGAGGAGAGUGGGGAAAGGUCUCUGCGGUGUUGUUUGACAUGGACGGUGUGCUCUGCAACAGCGAGGAACCUUCUAGAAGAGCCGCUGUUGAUGUCUUCGCCGAGAUGGGCGUCCAAGUCACCGUCGAUGACUUCGUCCCAUUCAUGGGAACAGGAGAAGCAAACUUUCUGGGAGGUGUUGCCUCUGUUAAGGGAGUUAAAGGAUUUGAUACCGAAGCUGCAAAAAAGAGAUUCUUUGAAAUAUAUUUGGAUAAGUAUGCCAAACCAGAUUCCGGAAUAGGAUUUCCUGGUGCCAGUGAACUUAUUUCUCAGUGUAAAAGCAAAGGCAUUAAGGUGGCUGUUGCAUCUAGUGCUGAUCGCAUAAAGGUUGAUGCUAAUCUAGCUGCUGCUGGUUUGUCAUUGUCAAUGUUUGAUGCAAUUGUGUCUGCAGAUGCUUUUGAGAAUUUGAAACCUGCUCCUGAUAUUUUCUUAGCUGCAUCAAAAAUAUUGGAUGUGCCUCCCAGUGAGUGUAUAGUUAUAGAAGAUGCACUAGCUGGAGUUCAGGCUGCUAAAACUGCACAAAUGAGAUGCAUAGCUGUUAGAACUACGUUGUCAGAUGAGGCUUUGGAAUCUGUUGGUCCAUCACUCAUCCGAGAUGACAUAGGAAAUAUUUCACUUGAUGACAUUCUCAGUGGAGGCUCUGUUGGAUAUAAUAAGAGGGUUCAGGGAUCUGAAACAUCAAAUGAUUCUGCACAAUCUUCCUCUGCUAUGCUUGCUGUUGAAAAAGAUGAUAGAGCUAGAAAAACUAUCAGUGGUAGUGACAAGGGAAUAUUCCCAACUGAAGGGUUACAGGGUUCUCGGCGCGAUAUAAUGAGAUUCGGGAGUCUUGGUAUUGCUAUCUCUUGCCUUGUUUUCACAAUUAGUAACUGGAAGGCAAUGCAAUAUGCUUCACCCAAAGCAAUAUGGAAUCUGUUGUUUGGAGUCACCCAACCAUCCAUGGAACAGAAAGAAGGUGAUUCAAGAGAUGAUAGGGUCCAGCAAUUUGUGAAUUACAUAACUGAUCUAGAGAGCAGGGGAAACACUCAGAUUGUUCCAGAAUUUCCAUCGAAACUUGAUUGGCUGAAUACAGCUCCACUACAAUUUCGCAGGGAUCUGAAAGGAAAAAUUGUUGUCCUGGAUUUCUGGACUUAUUGUUGUAUAAACUGUAUGCAUGUCUUACCAGACCUAGAGUUUUUGGAGAAGAAAUACAAAGAUAUGCCGUUCAUUGUUGUGGGUGUUCAUUCUGCGAAGUUCGAUAAUGAGAAAGAUUCUGAAGCCAUUCGUAAUGCAGUUCUACGCUAUGAUAUCACUCAUCCGGUUGUGAAUGAUAGUGACAUGUAUCUUUGGCGCAAGUUAGGCAUAAAUUCAUGGCCAACAUUUGCUGUCGUUGGCCCCAAUGGUAAGCUCCUAGCACAACUUGCUGGAGAAGGUCACAAGAAGGAUCUUGAUGAUUUUGUGGAGGCAGCACUGAUGUUUUAUGGAAAACGUAAUUUGUUGGAUAAUACACCAAUUACGUUGAAUUUGGAGAAAGAUAAUGAUCCUCGGCUUUCAGCAUCUCCAUUGAAGUUCCCUGGAAAGCUAGCAAUUGAUAUCCUCAACAACAGGCUUUUUAUUUCUGACAGCAACCAUAACCGUAUAGUGGUUACUGACCUUGAUGGGAACUUCAUUGUACAAAUUGGUAGCAGUUGGGAGCAAGGUCUGCAGGAUGGUUCAUUUGAUGAUGCCACCUUUAACCGACCUCAGGGCCUUGCUUAUAAUGCAAAGAAAAAUAUCGUUUAUGUUGCAGAUACUGAAAACCAUGCUUUGAGGGAAAUUGAUUUCAUUAAUGAGAAAGUGCGUACUCUUGCUGGAAAUGGGACCAAGGGCUCUGAUUAUAUUGGAGGAGGAAAAGGAGACACUCAGCUUCUCAAUUCCCCUUGGGAUGUCUGCUUUCAUCCAGUUGAAGAGAAAAUUUAUAUUGCAAUGGCUGGCCAACAUCAGAUUUGGGAGCACAAUAUAUUGGACGGAAUUACGAAAGUCUUUAGUGGCGAUGGUUAUGAAAGAAAUCUAAAUGGAUCAAGUCCUACAAGUUCGUCAUUUGCACAACCUUCUGGUCUUUCAUUCUCUCGAGAUCUAACGGAGAUCUACGUUGCUGAUAGUGAGAGUAGUUCUAUCCGAGUUGUUGAUCUGAAAACAGGAGGAUCUCGUCUGAUAGCUGGUGGUGACCCAAUCUUCCCAGAUAAUUUGUUUAAGUUUGGUGAUCAAGAUGGAAUAGGCUCUGAAGUACUCCUUCAACAUCCACUGGGGGUUACAUGUGCAAAAGAUGGUGAAGUUUAUAUUGCCGAUAGCUACAAUCACAAGAUCAAGAAGUAUGAUCCAACUAGUAAAAGAGUUAGCAGCAUUGCAGGAACAGGAAAAGCUGGUUUCAGGGAUGGAACAGCUUUGACGUCUCAGCUAUCUGAACCAGCGGGAAUUGCUGAAGGGAAUGGGCGAUUAUUUAUUGCAGAUACAAAUAACAGCUUAAUCCGAUAUCUGGAUUUGAUAAGUGAUGAAUUUUUGCUUCAUACUUUAGAGCUUAAAGGAUUUCAGCCUCCUAAACCGAAAUCAAGAUCUUUGAAACGCCUCAGAAGACGACCAUCAGCCGACACAAUGACUAUUAUGAUUGAUCCUAUUUCAUCAAAUGAGGGAAACUUGUAUAUUGAUAUUGCAUUACCAAAUGAGUAUCAUUUCUCAAAGGAAGCACGCAGUAGAUUUAGUGCUGAUACCGAACCUGCGGAUGCUGUAAACAUUGAUCCUUUGGACGGAUUCCUUAGUUCAGAAGGAUCAGCAACGCUUCGCUUUAAGAGGUUAUCUAACUCGGCUUCCAUGGGUAGAAUUAAUUGCAAGGUUUACUAUUGCAAGGAAGAUGAAGUAUGUUUGUACCAAUCUUUGCUGUUUGAGAUUCCCUUCCGAGAGGGAGUUCCUACCGCUAACAAGGCAGACGUCACUCUUGCUCAUCUUGUGAAGCCCAAAACUCCCAACAACUUCUUACUGCCCUCGGUUGCCCCGUGACUCCUUAAUCCAGUAAUUGGACGUGAGGUAUAUUGUUUAUUCGUAGUUGAAGCAAAGCAGAUCAGGUCCCCUACGUUGCUAGCGAAGCAAAUUAUUAGUGUAUGGAAUUUGGCCAUUUGAUGUAAACCUUCGAGUCACCACAUCCAUUGUUGAUGAACAUGAAGAUGACGAUUGUGAAUUCAUUGGAGAGAAUGAGAUGCCAACACAUGAUGAUUGUUGGGAUGAGAGCCAAGAUGCUUAUGCAUGGGAGAUAAACUGAUGCUAUUAUAAUUUCUUGAAUCAAUUUUCUUUCGUUUUAGUUUAUAAUUAUUUUAAAGUGGUGCUCCGUAUAUUUUUUUUUUCUCCUUCCAAAACAUUGGGUGUUUAGAUUG